CCACCAUCGCCACCAACUCCAGUAUGGAUCCCCACUGAGGCUCAAGCUCAAGCUCAAGCCCAAGCCCAAGCUCAGGCUCAAGCUCAAACUCAAAGCUUAUUAGGAGGUUGGGGAGGUGGCGCGUCGCAAGCUCAGAGCCAAGCUCAGGCCCAGGCUCAAACGGCAGCGCUCGCACAAGCUUUAGCUCAAGCCCAAGCCCAGGCCCAAGG